rnacentral:rRNA from 1 species
AGAGUUUGAUCCUGGCUCAGGAUAAACGCUAGCGGCAGGCCUAACACAUGCAAGUCGAGGGGCAGCAGGGAAGUAGCUUGCUACUUCUGCUGGCGACCGGCGCACGGGUGCGUAACGCGUAUGCAACCUACCUUUAACAGGGGGAUAAUCCGAAGAAAUUUGGUCUAAUACCCCAUAAUAUUGAUUAAGGCAUCUUGAUCAGUUGAAAGUUCCGACGGUUAAAGAUGGGCAUGCGUUGUAUUAGCUAGUUGGUGAGGUAACGGCUCACCAAGGCUACGAUACAUAGGGGGACUGAGAGGUUUUCCCCCCACACUGGUACUGAGACACGGACCAGACUCCUACGGGAGGCAGCAGUGAGGAAUAUUGGUCAAUGGACGCAAGUCUGAACCAGCCAUGCCGCGUGCAGGAUGAAUGUGCUAUGCAUUGUAAACUGCUUUUGUACGAGGGUAAAAACAGGUACGUGUACCUGGUUGAAAGUAUCGUACGAAUAAGGGUCGGCUAACUCCGUGCCAGCAGCCGCGGUAAUACGGAGGACCCGAGCGUUAUCCGGAUUUAUUGGGUUUAAAGGGUGCGUAGGCGGAUUGGUAAGUUAGAGGUGAAAGCUCAGCGCUUAACGUUGAAACUGCCUCUGAUACUGUCGGUCUAGAGUAUAGUUGCGGAAGGCGGAAUGUGUGGUGUAGCGGUGAAAUGCUUAGAUAUCACACAGAACACCGAUUGCGAAGGCAGCUUUCCAAGCUAUCACUGACGCUGAGGCACGAAAGCGUGGGGAGCGAACAGGAUUAGAUACCCUGGUAGUCCACGCCGUAAACGAUGAUAACUCGUUGCAGGCGAUACACAGUCUGUGACUUAGCGAAAGCGUUAAGUUAUCCACCUGGGGAGUACGUUCGCAAGAAUGAAACUCAAAGGAAUUGACGGGGGCCCGCACAAGCGGAGGAACAUGUG